rnacentral:misc_RNA from 1 species
AUUGAGCGAGUAUUUACUAUAAUGGAGCAGCUUCAAAAGGAUCGGAAGCAGACAACCAGACCUACUGAAACUCAAGUUCUGCUGAGCAUUCUUGGGGAUAAAAGUAAACUCUCUUUAGCUGCAGAGCUUGUUAGUGAGCUAUGGAGUGCCAAGUUGAAGGCAGAAUAUGUCGUGAGUACCAGGUUUAGUAAGCACAUCGAUCGUGCAAAAGAGUCGAGAAUUCCAUGGAUGAUACUUGUAGGUGAUAAGGAGCUAGAGAAAGGGAUUGUAAAAAUGAAGAACCUUGAGACCACAGUCGAAGAAGACGUCCCUAGAAGUACAUUUGUUGAAGAACUUAAGAGACGGCUGAACCUGUGAAACUCUCAUCUGAUUGACACAGAAAUCUGAACCAUUGUUUUGUUCAAGUCUUCACAGCCCGUCCUCUGCCAUGUAAGAGAAGCUUUACAGAAGAAUUUAUAAUUUUAAUGGCUGUAUUGGGCAAAUUUGGUAUUGAUUCCGAAAUCCCAGAAAGUAUAUUUUCUAAGUUUUUCAUGGAAGGUUCUUUUUUUUUUUUUUUGUUUUUUUGAAAGC